rnacentral:lncRNA from 1 species
GAGUAAGAAUUUCAAGAGAAUGAGCUCAUAAGGAGUAGUACCUGCAGGAAGUAUACCAUGUGCUGCAGAAUGAAGAGAAAUCUUGUUGCCUUACAAUGCCAAGCAAAUACACGUAACACCUGUCUUGGGAAUAUUGAAAGAACAAAAUGAAUAAACAUGGGAGAUGCACUCAAUAGUUCAUCUGCUGAUAGAAACAACUCCUUCAUCAAGUCCAGGGGAGCCCUGACUGAGUUUGACCUCCCAGUGAGGCCCCUUAGAGAGGCGUGUCAGUCCCAGCCUGUACCUUCUCACCUCUCUGUGAGGCUUCUUCUAAGACUAAGUUUGAUGAAAAGGCCACAGAUUGCACUUGUGGACUUUGUUUUCUGCAGUCACUGCUUGCUUUGCCAUUUGACCAAUGAACAGAGAAAGGUAUCCAUGAAGUUUUAUACCUCCUUCUGGCUACUGAAGGUCUCUAAUGUGCAGCAAGAGUGGCACUCACAGAAGUUCUUAUCUCAGGAUUUGAUCGCAGGCUAAGAUGGGCUUCCCUGGCCACCAGCCUGGCACUCACCUUGUGGCCUUUCUCCUUAUGCCCUGAUCUCCACGUCACCCCCAGCAGAUAUCCUGUCUCAUCAAAAUACUAUCUUGCAAAGAAAUUUAGUAUUUCUGACUUUCUACACCUAUUUUAACUUGAAUUAAACAGAAGAUAUGUUACAGAUAUGAAAAUGUAAAGACAUUAAAAUGUUUGUGUGAUAAAGUUCAGUUUCUUAGAUUUGUCCAAUAUUGAACUUUGUUGUACUUAUUCACAAUUUGGUGGAUGUCACAAUAGUUUUCAACCUUGUUUAACGCAUUAUGCCCCAUCAUCCUAUGUAUAGCACACCAGUAAAACAAAUUGAGCAAUAAAUGUACCACUUAUGAUAUCUUUGAGCUAAAU